UAACACCAGCCCCUCGAGUGGUGGGGAUGAUUAUUGGGCCUAAAGCGUCCGUAGCCUGCCGUGUAAGUUUUCCGUUAAAUCCAGCGUCUCAAGCGUUGGACUGCGGGAAAUACUGUACGGCUAGAGAGUGGGAGAGGUCAGCGGUAUUCUGGGGGUAGGGGCGAAAUCCUUUGAUCCCCGGAGGACCACCAGUGGCGAAGGCUGCUGUCUAGAACACGUCUGACGGUCAGGGACGAAAGCUGGGGUAGCGAACCGGAUUAGAUACCCGGGUAGUCCCAGCCGUAAACGAUGCAUGCUAGGUGUUGGGUUGGCCACGAGCCACCCCAGUGCCGCAGGGAAGCCGUUAAGCAUGCCGCCUGGGAAGUACGAUCGCAAGGUUG
rnacentral:rRNA from 1 species